rnacentral:rRNA from 1 species
UACGUAGGGUGCAAGCGUUAAUCGGAAUUACUGGGCGUAAAGCGUGCGCAGGCGGUUCGCUAAGACAGAUGUGAAAUCCCCGGGCUUAACCUGGGAACUGCAUUUGUGACUGGCGGGCUAGAGUAUGGCAGAGGGGGGGUAGAAUCCACGUGUAGCAGUGAAAUGCGUAGAGAUGUGGAGGAAUACCGAUGGCGAAGGCAGCCCCCUGGGCCAAUACUGACGCUCAUGCACGAAAGCGUGGGGAGCAAACAGG